UGCUCUCCAGCAUAGCUCAAUUAGUAGAGCAUGAGACUCUUGAUCUCAGGGUUGUGGAUUCAAGUUCCACACUGGGCAA